rnacentral:rRNA from 1 species
UACGGAGAUGGCGAGCGUUGUUCGGAAUCACUGGGCGUAAAGGGCGCGUAGGCGGUUGGGUAAGUUGGAUGUGGAAUCGCCCGGCUCAACCGGGCGGGGUCGUCCAAAACUGCCCGACUGGAGCGCGGUAGGGGAGAGUGGAACUCCUGGUGGAGCGGUGAUAUGCGUAGAUAUCAGGAGGAACGCCGGCGGCGAAGGCGACUCUCUGGGCCGUAGCUGACGCUGAGGCGCGAAAGCUAGGGGAGCGAACGGGAUUAGAUACCCCCGUA